UGAUCCCUUGAUCCUUGCCCUCAUGAGAUUUCUCAAGAUCUAGAUCAUCUAAUAAUCUAUCUGAAGGUGUGCCUCUCACGCAAAGGUUUCGAGAUCCGCCCCAAAUCUCAUCCUCUGGCAAGCUCUAAUCCUAGUGGAAAAUUAGUCCAUCUUUUCCUAUUUUGGAUCUCUGCUGCCAGUCCUUCAUACCUCUAUCUCGGCCUUCACCAACCAUCAUAUGGAGGACCCUGGUAGCUCUCACAUGAUGGUUGUGGGCAAGGUUUCUACAGCCCUCCUAACUCUCACUCCCAAGAGGAUGGCAGCAAUUAUAAUUCUUAUUCUUCGGAUGACAAUGGUGGGGCGGUGUUGGAUGACAAUACCCCUGAUGACCUAAUGACUCUAAACCAGUUUUAAGAAGAAGUUCACAGCAAAAAACUGAUCUGAAAGGGUUCACACGCAGUUGAUUCUUCCCACAAAAAAAAGGAAGAGUCGAGUCAAGCGGGGAUGGUGUCGGACCCCUCUUCUUCUCCUCAAGUGGUUUUAAUCCAUGCUUUUCAGCUCCCUCUUAUUUGGGGGAAUCUCUGGAUGAGACACCUCCACUGAUAUCCUGCGGUUCAUUAGGAAGCACAAACCUUUACUUCUGUGCCUUGUUGAAAUGAGAGCCAACUCUAAUCAAGUGGAUAGGUUCUACACCAAACUUCUUCACAACUGGGACUGGGCAGCUAUCUUGGCCAAUGGUUACUCCGGCGGCAUCAUUGUCAUUUGGUAGAAACUCAUUGAUCAUGUCACUACUAUCACUGUUUCUCGUAGAGCUUUACAUAUUAUCAUCUCACCCUAUACUUCUAUGAAUUGGAUUGUUUUGGUCAUCUAUGGGCUCAGUGCUCUUUGUGGCAUAAGCUUUCUAAAAUGGGUCCCUCUCAUUAUGGAUGAUAUCAACACUGUAUUGGUCACUCACAACGAGCACAAAGGAGAUUCUUUCUCGUAUUACUCUUGCAAGGUCCCAAUUUUUUUUUUUCAAAUUUCAUAGAGGAUAACAAUCUGCUGGAUUUGAAUUUUUCUAGCUCUAGUUUUAUUUUGUGCAACAAUCAGUUGGGCCCUACAAAGCAUUUGGCCCGACUAGACUGUUGCCUGGUGAAUCAUAUCUGAUCUUUUAAUUUUAA